CACCACGCGCCGGGAGUGGAGGUCACAGAGAUCACAAAGGGAUCGGGAGCUCCGCCCUCUGGCCCCGGGACUGCAGGAUGAGGGAAGUUCCCGGCGGUGGCUUGGGGGAGGGAGGGCUACAGCAUCUUGGACAUUCUGACAGCAGUCGCCUCUACACUCGAGUCCCUGACCUCAGGCCCUCGCGGUCCCCUCUGCUUCGCCACUGGGAGAGAUUCUGCAGCUGACCACCUACACGUAAAGUGGCGGGAGAUCCACGCAGCGUGGACACUGACAAGCACGUGGCAGUGAUGAAACCCUUCAACGUCAGCGCUCUUUUCCCAGUUUCACGGCCACAGCUCUGUGGGUCAGCAAUCCAGCGAGGCGCACAGCAGCCCUGCAACGGAGGAGCAGCAGUCCAGGGAGGUGAAACGACCUGCUUGAAGGCUCCGAGUCCGAAAGAGGAGGAGGAGGAGGAGGGAGGGCUCAGCGCCGGCCAGCCAGCAUCAGGGAUGCUGCCCCGACUCCGCUGGGACACGUGGGGAGAUCCAGGCCCCUCCCCCUGACCUUGCUCUCUGCCCGCCGGGAAGUGGGGAGCUUGGGGGGAGCAACCUCAGCGCGUCCCUGGGACAGUCUCCACUUGGGGGCACGCCCUGGGGUGUUGCUUCUUUGGGAGGUCGGUGGCCUUGAACUCUGUGCUAAGGGGCCCGGGCCUGAGAAAAGCCCGGUAGACUUGGAAGCCUUUGCCCGACUUGGAUGGAAAGCGGAGCAAAGGAGCCCGAGGGACCGGGUGCAAGGCCAGGACCAGUUCCUCGCCCGCGGGGACCGGGCCCGAGGAGCCGCGGGGAGGAAUCCUUCCCGGCCCGCAGCCGGGGACGCAGUGAGGCCCGGGGCGGGGCGGCCCCUCCC